rnacentral:rRNA from 1 species
GACGAACGCUGGCGGCGUGCUUAACACAUGCAAGUCGAACGGAAAGUCCCUGCUUUUGUGGGGUGCUCGAGUGGCGAACGGGUGAGUCACACGUGCGUAACCUGCCUUUCACUUUGGGAUAUCUUCUGGUAACUGGGGCUAAUACCGGAUAGGAGCUCCUGCUGCAUGGUGUGGGUUGGAAAGUUUCGGCGGUUGGGGAUGGACUCGCGGCUUCUCAGCUUGUUGGUGGGGUAGUGGCUUACCAAGGCUUUGACGGGUAGCCGGCCUGAGCGGGGGACCGGCCACAUUGGGACUGAGAUACGGCCCAGACUCCUACGGGAGGCAGCAGUGGAGAAGAUUGCACAAUGGGCGGAAGCCUGAUGCAGCAAAGCCGCGUGCGGGAAGACGGCCUGCGGGUUGUAAACCGCUUUCGCCUGUGACGAAGCGUGAGUGACGGUAAUGGGUAAAGAAGCACCGGCUAACUACGUG